UCGGUGGUGGUGGCUUCUUAAACGCCCUUACCCUCUGGGAUCUCCGUGUCUCUCUCACCCACGCAGGCCGCGCUCUCUGCUCCUUUCGUGUUCCCCCUCACCUCACCGACUCCGAUGGGAACUGGAUCCCUGGGGCGAUGUCCACUGUUAUCGAUCUCGUCGGCGCCGCCGUCAUCUUAUCC